GCGGCUCCUCCCCUGACCACGCGGCUCUGAGCGGGGAAGAGCUCAGCCCCCUCCGGGAGCCAUGCGGCUGCAGCGCUGGGCAGGGCCGCUUCCCCAGGUGCGCAGUGAGCGGGGGAACAUGACCCCAAAGAUGCGGAUCUUUUAAAACUUGAGAAAUAGUGUUAUGAAGAUCCUGGAAAACCUCUGAAAGGCAACAAACCUAGGGACAGCAUUCUGUGCCAAUCAGCAGCACAGUCAUCCCAAGAUGUGUUUGGAGAGGAAAUGUAUUGCCCCAGUCCUGAUUCAGUAUAGUCAAACUUCUCAG